GUUUUUUUUUGUUUCAAUAGGAUGUUUGUGGUGGGAGUAGCUACCAGAGACUAUUCUCUUCCAAGCUUUGUUUAUUUCUAACUUGGAUUUCAGGAUUAAAGGCACAACUGGAGUUGAGAUUGCUUCUGGCCUCAAUUGGUAUUUGAAGUAUAAAUGUAAUGCUCAUGUUUCUUGGGACAAGACUGGUGGCAUUCAGAUUGCCUCUGUUCCACAGCCUGGAUACUAUCACCAACAUGUUGUUACAUCUAGCUAUUCAUAUGUUUGGUGGGGAUGGGAUGGGAGAGAGAGAUUAUCUUUGUUUAGAGCCUCUUGCUCGUUGUUGACUGCUUCUAUUUUAUGACAAUGGUUACAAGGAUCAAGGAUAUGGAAAUCUCCAAACACCAGAACAUGUCUAGUAUGGGUAACUCCGGGUUGAUGCAGCAUGAAGUUUAUGGUUAUGAUCAGAACUUGUGUACGAGUGAUAUUACCGACAGAAACGUUCCAGAUCCUAGUCUCUCAAACACAGUCUGAGAUUUCUCUGAAAUCAAUCAAACUGUCCAAUUAUGAAGCUGUCUAUGCAUUGCAUUGGUGUCUAUUUGGUAGUACGAGGACAAUUAAUAUGUAUAUUGCAUCAACAUAUAAUUUUCUUUAUUUGUACCUUCUUUAUG